rnacentral:misc_RNA from 1 species
CUUCAAGCAAGACAAUUGAAGAGUAGGUCCUAUUGAAAUAUGAUCCAGCCAGUAAAACUAUUAGUUCACAAGGUUACAACCAAUACGGAAUUAUUCUUUCAUGAUACAUCUAUAAAGACAGUGCAUAAUCAUGUGUUAAAUCUAGAAAAUUCACAUUUGGCGAAACUAGGAUUUUAUAAAGAACAGGGCAAAAUCUCGAACCAAGAGAUGCACAAAAAUUGAUAUUUCUCUGGAAGCAACAUAAGAUGCACUAGUUUCAGUACAGUCCUUCAAUACAUUCUUUUCAUAUCAAAUAAAGAAAGGAGGGGUACAAAGAAGAUUCAAGAAAGCUCAGUAAUUACACGUUCACACUUAUCUUCCAAAAUCUUCACAGCCUCAGUAAAUAGCACUUCAGGAGGCAAAGCUCCAGUUGAUUCAAUAGUAAAUAUGAAAUGAUCUUUAACACGAUGCAGUGCCACACGUUUCUCCCAUUCUUCUCCCCCUCUAAUGCAUUCCCUACACAGUGUGCAAGCUCGUGGCCGAGCAACGGUUGCCCUCUUCUUCCCAUUUCCAAUGUCUUCAAUAUCAAAUACAUUAACAGGGCAUUUCUUCUUAAGCUCUUCAGCUGUCUCAUCUUGAACAUCUUCUAAUAAUACAACCUCAGGAAGCAUCCGAUACCAAGCAGUGGCAACAGGAGACCAUUUUGCAUGUGUUUUACCCAUGCCUUUAACAGCAUGAGCUUCAAGUUCAAUUUCCUGCCCAGUGCCAAGUUUAGCAAGUAUAAUCUUGUCUUCCGUUGGGCUGAUUGGAUUGCUCAAGAAGUUCUGUAGGGAAUCUUGACUGCAACUAAAUGAAGUAUAGGUGCUAGGCUUUGAAUCAACCUUUUCUGAUUCCUUGAUAAACUCACUCCCAUUUGCUAACCACUUCAAUUCUUCAGAAUAUACCGUUCGACGAGGUUCACCUUGCUUGCAACGAACAUGAAGUUUGAAGACAAUGGUGUUCUUUUCAUUUGGUGUAUCAUUUGCUAUGAUUAAAAAAGGAAAAGAGUAAGGAGAAAAAAGAAGAAAUUAAUUAAUUGUCGUACAUGAUACAGGUGCUAAGUAUGUGUAUAUGUGCUUAUCCAUCUUUCAGAAAAAGGGGGAAAAGACGGUGAAAAUUCAAGUCAAACCUGAAAGAUACUCAAACAGCCUAGGGUCAGCAUUAAUUGGAAUAAGGCCCAACCUGUGAGAAAGGACUUCGUCUUGGAUAAGUGAUGUAUUGUUUGCAAUAAGGACUUUUUCAAUAGCCAUGGUGGGAAGCUCAGAAAUGAGAAUCCUUCGAAAUGCAUUAGCAAUUGAUGCAUCAAUACCGAUCAUGUCAAACUCCAUAUCAUCCUUAGUCAGUCGAAUCACUUCAACUUUAAAGUUGCUGCGGAAACUAUCUAAAUGUAUGCUAUUAUCGACUCCCAUCGAGGCAUAGGCACCAGAGUAUAGAAUAUUAUCAGUGUGGAUAGGAGCAUCUGCUUUGCAAACAACACGAGUUCUUUGAAGCUGAAGAUGUGGUGGCAGUUGGCCCAUUGGAACAUCUGGCAAAUCCCAUAUUGAAAAUUUCUUAUUUUCUUUGUUUUCUUGCUUACUCAUUGUUUCUGCUUCGAUGCUUUGAUUGAUUAACAGAGAGUUACUCUUACACUCACUCUCUCUCUCUCUCCCCCCGUGUUUAUGUUGUGUUUUUGGGUUUGAGGGCUCAACUGAUACGAGACAGAGACAAAGAGAGAAGACGAAUAUUGGGUUUAGGGUUUUAACAGAGAACAGAGUAUGGGGGGCCGAGGGUAAAGAAAAGCAGAGAUUUUACAGGCGCCCUUAUGGGAUUAUGGUGGGUAUACUAAUAUUAGAGUAUAAUAAUUAAUUCUUUUUUUAAUUAUAUUAACGUAAAU